rnacentral:rRNA from 1 species
GAGUUUGAUCCUGGCUCAGAUUGAACGCUGGCGGCAUGCCUUACACAUGCAAGUCGAACGGCAGCACGGGGGCAACCCUGGUGGCGAGUGGCGAACGGGUGAGUAAUACAUCGGAAUGUACCCAGUAGUGGGGGAUAACUAGUCGAAAGAUUAGCUAAUACCGCAUACGCACUAUGGUGGAAAGCGGGGGAUCGCAAGACCUCGCGCUAUUGGAGCAGCCGAUGUCCGAUUAGGUAGUUGGUGGGGUAAAGGCCUACCAAGCCUGCGAUCGGUAACUGGUCUGAGAGGACGACCAGUCACACUGGGACUGAGACACGGCCCAGACUCCUACGGGAGGCAGCAGUGGGGAAUUUUGGACAAUGGGGGAAACCCUGAUCCAGCCAUGCCGCGUGAGUGAUGAAGGCCCUAGGGUUGUAAAGCUCUUUCAACGGUGAAGAUAAUGACGGUAACCGUAGAAGAAGCCCCGGCUAACUUCGUG